AGUUGCACGAAGAGAAUAACUGAUUGCAUUCGUCUUGUCUCUUAAAAAGAUACGUCUUGUCUCUCAAUAUUUAAAAUGAAGCUUAUAUAUGCCUUUGCAAUGAUUAUGAUGAUCGCAGUAACAGUAAUUAUGUCUGUUAACGGUGAUACAGAUACUUCAAAAGAAACAAAUUCUGAUUCCUAUGAAUAGAAUCCUAAAAAUUAAUUUUACGAUAUGAGUUACAUGGUUGAAAAAAUAUAGCAAUAGUUAUUAAAUAAUGCUAUAAAUAUUGUACUAUCUUCAAUUGUACAGAACUGUCGGCAGUUAAUAAAAAUAUGAGCAUCUA